rnacentral:lncRNA from 1 species
GGCGGCCGUCCCGGGCCGGGUCCCCUUCCUCCUCGGGGCACCGACGGCCUCUCCUGGCCGGGCUGAGGCCGGCUCGGCCCCGUGCGGCCUUCCGGUUUGCUAGCAUUUUCCUUCUGGGACGCGCACGGAGGCUGUGGAGAGACCCGGCCGGGGUCCGAGGGGGUGGGCGGCCCUAGCGCGGGUCGGGCCGCGGGUCCCACCUGCUGCCGCCCGCCCCGAGUGCCCCAGAGACUCUGCCGCCGCCCGAGCGCGCGGCCCGGGCCACCUGAUGGAACGUGCGGAGCUCACUCCUCCACCUGGCGCCCAUUUGGCUUUUUAUUAUCUGCCUCCCGCAUCCUAACUGGUUCCAGAUUUGCAACCUCAGAGGCGCAGACACCCGGCUGGGCCACGCCAUCGAUCCCCAGAUGGAGUCUUGCUCUGUUGUCAGGCUGGAGUGCAGCGGCCACUGUUACCUCCGCCUCCCGGGUUCACGCGAUUCUCCUGCCUCAGCCUCCCAAGUAGCUGGGACUACAGGUGCGUGCCACCAUGCCCAGCUAAUUUUUGUAUUUUUAGUAGAGAUGGGGUUUCAUCAUGUUGGCCAGGAUGGUCUCGAUCUCCUGACCUUGUGAUCCACCCGCCUCGGCCUCCCAAAGUGCUGGGAUUACAGGUGUGAGCCACCGUGCCCGGCCUAAAGCAGGCCCAGCUCCAUGAUGAUGCCUCUCUCCAGAGACCUCCUGACCUCCUGACCUGCACAGCCCGGGAGACCACAGCCCACAGCCGCUGCCCCAGGUGUCCACAAGCAUCUCAGCCCCUCCACAGCCCACGCAUCUCCUCUUUCAUUGGCUCAUGGGGAGUGAAGGACAAUGUCUGAAUUAAAUGCCGUGCUUUAAACUGAAAGGGAAACUUAGCAAAUAAAUGAGAGUAACAACACUAGAUCAUUGGCCAGUGUGGUUGCAAUUCUUCCUUUCCCUCCAGAUUUCUGUUUAACCUUUAAAUCUCAUUUCGGCAUGCCUCUUGGUCCUCCUUGGAUUGAUAUUAAGUUGUACACAGGCUACUUCUUGUAAGACGAUGAGAA